rnacentral:rRNA from 1 species
AACUUUCAACAACGGAUCUCUUGGUUCUCGCAUCGAUGGAGAACGCAGCGAAAUGCGAUAAGUAAUGUGAAUUGCAGAAUUCAGUGAAUCAUCGAAUCUUUGAACGCACAUUGCGCCCCUUGGUAUUCCGAGGGGCAUGCCUGUUCGAGCGUCAUUA